rnacentral:rRNA from 1 species
AUUGAACGCUGGCGGCAGGCCUAACACAUGCAAGUCGAGCGAGCGGCGGACGGGUGAGUAAUGUAGGGGGAUCUGCGCGAUAGAGGGGGAAAAAUAGUGGAAACGGUGGAUAAUACCGCAAAAUCUCGGAAGAACCCAUAUGGGAUUAGCUAGUAGGAGGGGUAAAGGCUCACCUAGGCGACGAUCUCUAGCUGGUCUGAGAGGAUGAUCAGCCACACUGGGACUGAGACACGGCCCAGACUCCUACGGGAGGCAGCAGUGGGGAAUAUUGCACAAUGGGCGCAACCCUGAUGCAGCCAUGCCGCGUGUAUGAUGAAGGCCUUAGGGUUGUAAAGUACUUUCAGCGGGGAGGCGUUACCCGCAGAAUAAGCACCGGCUAACUCCGUGCCAGCCGCCGCGGUAAUUC